UACGUAGGCAGCGAGCGUUGUUCGGAGUUACUGGGCGUAAAGCGUGCGUAGGCGGUGGUCCAAGUCUGGUGUGAAAUCUCCCGGCUCAACUGGGAGGGUGCGCCGGAAACUGGGCCGCUGGAGUAUGGGAGAGGCAAGCGGAAUUCCAGGUGUAGCGGUGAAAUGCGUAGAUAUCUGGAGGAACACCCGUGGUGCAGACGGCUUGCUGGACCAUGACUGACGCUGAGGCACGAAAGCGUGGGGAGCAAACAGG
rnacentral:rRNA from 1 species